CCUACGGGUGGCAGCAGUGAGGAAUAUUGGUCAAUGGGCUUACGCCUGAACCAGCCAAGUAGCGUGAAGGAUGACUGCCCUACGGGUUGUAAACUUCUUUUAUAAAGGAAUAAAGUGAGGCACGUGUGCCUUUUUGUAUGUACGUUAUGAAUAAGGAUCGGCUAACUCCGUGCCAGCAGCCGCGGUAAUACGGAGGAUCCGAGCGUUAUACGGAUUUAUUGGGUUUAACGGGAGCGUAGAGGGGUUGUUAAGUCAGUUGUGAAAGUUUGCGGCUCAACCGUAAAAUUGCAAUUGCUACUGGCAGUCUUGCGUACAGUUGAGGUAGGCGGCAUUCGUGGUGUAGCGGUUA
rnacentral:rRNA from 1 species